rnacentral:rRNA from 1 species
UACGGGGGGGGCAAGCGUUGUUCGGAAUUACUGGGCGUAAAGCGUGCGCAGGCGGCUUACUAAGACAGGUGUGAAAGCCCCGAGCUUAACUUGGGAAUGGCGCUUGUGACUGGUAGGCUGGAGUGUGGCAGAGGGAGGUGGAAUUCCACGUGUAGCAGUGAAAUGCGUAGAGAUGUGGAGGAACACCGAUGGCGAAGGCAGCCUCCUGGGCCAGCACUGACGCUCAUGCACGAAAGCGUGGGGAGCAAACAGG